AUUUAUUUUAAUGGCCGCGGUAUAUUAACUGUGCUAAGGUAGCAUAAUCACUUGUCUUUAAAUUGAAGGCUAGAAUGAAUGGCUGAACGAAACAUAAUCUUUCUUUAACUUAAUUUUAGAACUUAAUUUUUUAGUCAAAAAGCUAAAAUUUAUUUGAGGGACGAGAAGACCCUAUAGAUCUUUAUAUAUAAUAUAUUAUAUAUUUUAGUAAAUUUAUUAUAAAAAUAUAAAAGUAUAUUUGGUUGGGGCGACUAUAGAAUAUAUUUAACUUCUAUUUAUAUUAUUCAUAAAUUAGUGUUUAGUUGAUCCAAUAAUAUUGAUUAAAAUAUUAAGUUACCUUAGGGAUAACAGCGUAAUUUUUUCGGAGAGUUCUUAUCGAUGAAAAAGCUUGCGACCUCGAUGUUGG
rnacentral:rRNA from 1 species